AACUUUCAACAAUGGAUCUCUUGGCUCUGGCAUCGAUGAAGAACGCAGCGAAAUGCGAUAAGUAAUGUGAAUUGCAGAAUUCAGUGAAUCAUCGAAUCUUUGAACGCACAUUGCGCCCGCCGGAAAUCCGGCGGGCAUGCCUGUUCGAGCGUCAUCU
rnacentral:rRNA from 1 species